GUGCUCGCUUUGGCAGCACAUGUACUAAAAUUGGAACAAUACAGAGAACAUUAGCAUAGCCCCUGCACAAGGAUGACACACAGAUUCAUGAAGUCGUCCAUAUUUUU
ensembl:snRNA U6 U6 spliceosomal RNA